rnacentral:lncRNA from 1 species
AGAAAAGAUGGCAAUAACAGGUAAUAUCCAUGUCAUAAACAUUAAUGGAUUGAAGAAACAAAGUGUGCUACCUAUGUUGCUGGUGUUUGACCUUGUUAAUGGUGUAGUUGUUGCUGCUGGUAUGGAAGUAGACAGUGUUUUCUGUGAUGAUGUUUCUGAAUUGCUGGUGUUUGACCUUGUUAAUGGUGUAGUUGUUGCUGCUGGUAUGGAAGUAGACAGUGUUUUCUGUGAUGAUGUUUCUGAAAUAAAUGUCAAAAAUACAUGUUCUGUAAUCAAAACUUUUCCAUUUAAAUCUAAAAUAAAAACCAUGUAAUUGGAUCAGAAAAUAUUGAGUUUCUGUAUAAUUUUUUUUUUAAACAAACAGUUUUGUUUAGUAGUAACGAAUUAAAACGACCAAUCAUCUUUUAAUCAAUUAAUG